UCACAUAUAGCUAUAUUUUUAUCCGGCGGGAGCUGAGUGUUUAUCCAUAUAGAGUCACAGAAGCCUACAUUGGUAGCCCACUGUAAGCCUUCUCAUACUCUAUAAAGCCUUUACUUUCAUAUUUUCACACACUGUUAUACACAUUGAGAGUCAUGUUGUGUGCGUAUGCCCGGACUUCGGUCUGUGGUUUUCAUUUUUGUCUGUAUAUAUAUACUUAUAUAUGUAUAUAUUUCAUAUAUGGACUAACAUUAUCGAGUUAUGCCUCGAUUGAG
rnacentral:lncRNA from 1 species